UACGUAGGGUGCGAGCGUUAAUCGGAAUUACUGGGCGUAAAGCGUGCGCAGGCGGUUCGUUGUGUCGGCGGUGAAAGCCCCCGGGCUUAACCUGGGAAUGGCCGUCGAAACUGGCGAACUGGAGUGUGGCAGAGGGGGUGGAAUUCCGCGUGUAGCAGUGAAAUGCGUAGAGAUGCGGAGGAACACCGAUGGCGAAGGCAGCCCCUGGGCUGACACUGACGCUCAGGCACGAAAGCGUGGGGAGCAAACAGGAUUAGAU
rnacentral:rRNA from 1 species